rnacentral:lncRNA from 1 species
GUAAUAUUGGUUAAAAAAGUGUAUUUCCUUACUUAUUACAUGAAAAACAGGGGCCUCUUCCCUUUGCACCCCUCAGGUCAGAGGAACCACAUUUCCCAAAGAUGGAAUGUGACUGCUAAUAACAGACAUGGUGGAGGCUUCAAUUUAUUACUCAGAAUUUGAGUCAAAUUCUCCCAAGAGCCAUGUGCUAAACAUUAACCAGCACACCACUGCUUAUAACUAGUGAUUAUUUUAAAUUUGUUAUUCUAUUACACAUAUACAUGGCCAUAAAUUCUUGACCAGGAAUUAGUAAACAUGAGUUUAUUGAAAUCUAGUAGCACUUCAUUUUUUCAGUUUUACCCAAGUUUUCUUAAAAAUGUUUUACCAAAGUUUCUUCAAAAUAACUCUUGUAGCAGUUAAACAUUGUCAAAAAGCAAAAAUUAUUUAAUUAAAAUAGAAGGUAAGUCUCCAGGUUGUAUAUGUGAUUGACAAAGGGGUAUAACUCAGUGGUAGUUAGGUAGCUUUCCUAACAUGUGUGAGGCCCUGGGUUCAAUCUCAAGCAAAACACACACACAC